rnacentral:misc_RNA from 1 species
CGAGCUCGAUCUAAGCAACAACAAGUACACGGGUGGAUUCCCCAUGUCAGUUCUUGGUGCCAAAAACUUGACCUUCUUAGACAUCAGGUUCAACUCAUUUUCCGGGCCAAUUCCAAGAGAACUCUUCAAUCUAGACCUGGACGUGCUUUUCCUCAACAACAAUCAAUUCACUCAACAGCUUCCUGAUAAUAUUGGCUCUACCCCAGCCUUAUAUCUCACUUUCGCUAACAACCACUUUACUGGGCCUAUUCCAAGCAGCAUUGGCAGAGCUAAAAAUCUAUUAGAGGUGCUUUUCUUGAACAACAACUUGACAGGGUGCUUGCCAUACGAGAUUGGUUUCUUGAAUGAGUCCACCGUGUUCGAUGUAAGCUGCAACAAGCUGACUGGCCCAAUACCACACUCAUUUGCCUGCUUGACAAAGAUAGAGAUCC